UGAUGACAACCAAUUCAUGCACAUAAAAGGCAUGUACUUGGCCGUAGAAAUAUAUCUUAAUGGCAAACAAAUCAUUGAGAGCCUUGUGCUGUGUACAUAAGAAACAAAGAGCAUGGAAUUGAAAUAUCAGCAAAUUAUUGAAAUACUUAAUUGAUUGAGGAUCUGUCAAAAAGGGCAAAGUUAGUCAUUCAAAGCCUUUUCGAGUGACUCACGGAAUGAUUAUGUCCCAGCCACGUCGUGGUUUCAUAGCAUUGAAGAAGAAAGCCAUCAAUAAUUGUUUCUUAUACGUAGUAUUUUCGCAGCCCUUUUUGGGGUGGUCUAAUUAUUUGUCUGGUGAUCUACAUUCAUCCAUUGUCAUUGAAUGUAAAGCCGGUCUCAGCAUCACAAAUACUACCGAAAUAAGGUACAACAAAUCUGUGAUUGCAUAACAUCAUCAGGAGUGUUUGAUUUGGACCGUCGUUUCAACGACCAAUGAUAACCAACGGGACACUGACGUUUUAAAAGCGUGCGAAACAACUUUCUUUCCUCGCAAAAGCUUUCGAUCACAUGAUGCUCAAGAAUGAGCUCUGUUGCAGUUCUAUAAAUGAGAAGGCAUUGAAGAGAAUGGCAUCAGUUUCAAGAAACAUUCUCACCUCAACCAUGAAAGCCUUUGCAGCUACCGCCCUCUUGGCCGCCGUGGCCAAGCUCAGAAGCCUUAUUACUACAAAUGGAGCCCUGAAACGCCGUGGCUCCUACUUUCAAGUUCCCUGAAAACAUCCCAGUGCCCUUCCCCGAAACCAAUGAACCGGCGGGUAAUGCGGGUUACCAGUACCAAUACACCCCUGAGCAGCCCAACUCCCGCCCUUUCAAGGCCCCCGAGGACUACACCCCCGUGGAUUUCAAGUAUCAAUAUGUCAGCCAGCCUGGAGACAGUUUCAAAUACAAUUACAAGCCCGCUCCGGGGGAGUUUGACUUCACCUAUGUCCCUGGACCCAACAUGAUGAACUUGAGCCCCGAGAAAAUGAGGCCAAAUCGGCCGGUGUAGCUACCAGUGUGAGGGAUGUGGCUGCUCUGUUGUCCACCGUGAAUUCAGACGACAUCAAAGCCAUCACGGGGGAAUUAGGCUUUGGCCAAGACUUUGACUUGAGCGUCGUGUCGGCAGGCAUCAACAAUUGGGGACAUCAUUGAGAAUGGUGGCAAAACUGGCGCCAAAAUUGCCAGUAACAUUGGACCUCAACCUCAAGUGCCCGUGCUUCCUGUGGCUCCCAUUCAACCCGUGGAUCCCCUCCCUGAGCCCAUUCCGGAGGCUGUUCCCGUGGGCACUUACAAUGCUGCCUAUCAAUCAGGAUAUUCUGUACCCUUGCAGGGAGCUUAUUACCCCGGCUACCCUCUGGCGGCUGCUCAGGCUCCCCUUGUCUACUAUGGAUACUAGAAAUUACGUUCAAACCAAAUAAACCAAUCCAAAGAACCAAGCAA